rnacentral:tRNA from 1 species
UGGGAAGUAGCUCAGUGGAAGAGCCGUCUAAGUCGCAGGUUCGAUUCCUGCCUUCCUAA